AAUGAACGCUGGCGGCAGGCCUAACACAUGCAAGUCGAACGGAUCCUUCGGGAUUAGUGGCGGACGGGUGAGUAACGCGUGGGAACAUACCCUUUGGUACGGAAUAGCCUCGGGAAACUGGGAGUAAUACCGUAUGUGGUCGAGAGACGAAAGAUUUAUCGCCAAAGGAUUGGCCCGCGUUGGAUUAGGUAGUUGGUGGGGUAAUGGCCUACCAAGCCGACGAUCCAUAGCUGGUUUGAGAGGUUGAUCAGCCACACUGGGACGGAGACACGGCCCAGACUCCUACGGGAAGCAGCAGUGGGUAAUCUUAGACAAUGGGGGAAACCCUGAUCUAGCCAUGCCUCGUGAUAGAUGAAGGCCUUAGGGUUGUAAAGAUCUUUCAGGUGGGAAAAUAAUGACUGUACCACCAGAAGAAGCCCCGGCUAACUCCGUGCCAGCCGCCGCCGUAA
rnacentral:rRNA from 1 species